rnacentral:tRNA from 1 species
AAGUCCUCCCAGGCCCACCAAUUUACCUAUCUAUUUGCCUUUAUCCGUUUAUUUGCCGAUUUAUCGGUCCAUUGAAUUUAAGUGUUGGUAGCAGUCUUUAUAAUGAUGAGAAAUCAUGCUUAUAAAAGAACUCCUUAUAAAAGGCUUGUUUUUAAAAUGUGACGCUUAUCCAUUUCGCUUAGGCGAGAGAAACUUCAAGCGGUUCAAAUGCAAAAGGCUUUAAAUUUUGUAAAACAAUUUGAAUUUUGCAAAACAAUUUAGAUUUUAAAGUGACCCAAGUUCGUGAUCUUAAAUUUAAAAGUUUCGAAUGCUUUAUCCUUUUUUGGGGGCCGUAGCUCAGCUGGGAGAGCACCUGCUUUGCAAGCAGGGGGUCGUCGGUUCGAUCCCGUCCGGCUCCACCAUUUAGAUCAUCAUCAUUGUUGUGAGAACACUCU